CAGAUGAAUGAAGAGGCUUUCAGCUCCCGGGUGACAGAUGCCAGCUGAGAACUUGCUCUUCCAGGGGACAAGGAUAAAGUUACUGGGCUCCUCGGGGUCUGGCCUGACACAGCCUGAGAAGAGCCAGUUAUUUCCUGUUUCCAGCUCUGCUCCCUCCGGCAGGGGCAGCCCCGUCUCCUGUGUGCACCUAAUACCUGCAGUUUCUCCGUGCAUUUAAAGUUGACACGAGCCUGUCCUAUUGGAGGGCUCACCCCCUCCUUGCCUUUUGCCCAUGCUGGUCCAGUUUGCUCCAGAGCAUCUUGUCAGUGGCUGUGUGGGCCGUGGUGCUCCCCCGCGGUGGCACCGGGGACAGUGCCUGGGGACAGCUGACCACUCCUCCUGCUGCAGGAGGAUUUCCGUGGGUGCAUGCUCAGGACAGACAUGCAGCUUGCAGGGUCUCCAUCCCCCUUGUGCGGGAGGGACCAGCGCCCCCACCUGGGCCCAGACCCGGCACCUCCCGCCGUUGCAGGGCAGGUGAGGAGUGGACACGCCCCAGUGUGUGUUUGUGUUUGUCUAUUAACUAGAGAGUCAGGACCAGGUGUUCAGAGCCUUUUCCACGCCCGCUGUAUUUUUAUGUUUUCUCUUCUGUACAUUACCUGCUCACUUGGGGUUGCUGCUUCCUUCUGUUAUUUCAAAAUUAUAGAAGCUUUUGCAUAUUCUAGAUAUUAGUCCUCUGUUAAUUUUGGCCAUUAGAAAAAAAAAAUCUGUCAAUAAGUCACCAAUGUCUUAACUGUGCCCGUGUUGUCCUUUGUUAAACAGAAGUUCUUAAUUUUCAUGUAAUAAAUUAUCUCUCUCUCUCUCA